CUGUUUCUAGGGUAAAAGUUUUAAUUUUGUUUCUUUUUGUCCAAUCGUUCAUCUUCACCUCUUCUCUCUCGUGCUCUCCUUUCUCCCAUACUACUACUUCUAGUACAUCCUCUCAUGGUGUCAGCUUCUCUAUGUCGACGAAGAUUACAACGGUGGCAUCGUUCGCUACGUCCUCGCCAAGAUGGAGAAGGAGAGCACCAACAGUCACGGCCAUAUCACCUCCCUCGUCGACCUCCGCACCCAGCGCAAACUCAGUCUCGCCACCAAACUAACGACCGCCACACAGAAUGCCAUGGGACAGUGUUUGGUGCCGAGUACGUGUCCCUACUCGUGCGCCAGAGCAACCGCGCGACCUUCGAUUUAUACACCGAGACCUUGGGGUACAAGAUUCAUAAUGUGGAGGCUAAGCAUUAUGCAGUCGGAGAGAUGCUUAUGAGAUGAGGAAUCAACUCAAGGGGAAGCAGUAGCACUUCAAUAACAAAAAG